rnacentral:piRNA from 1 species
UGUCCUCUGUGUUCUCAUUGCGACUGCU